GGCUAACGCUGGCGGCGUGUCUUAGCCAUGCAAGUCGAGCGGACUUAUGGGGUAACUUAUAAGCCAGCGGCGGACGGCGGAGUAACACGUAGCUAACCUACCCUCUGGACGGGGAUAACCUACCGAAAGGUGGGCUAAUACCCGAUGUAGUCAUCCUGUAUAGGGGUGAUGAAAGGUGGGCUUCUGUUUACAAGCUCAUGCUGGAGGAGGGGGCUGCGGCCUAUCAGGUAGUUGGUAGGGUAAUAGCCUACCAAGCCGAUGACGGGUAGCCGGCCUGAGAGGGUGACCGGCCCGAGGGGCACUGAGAUACGGGUCCCACUCCUACGGGAGGCAGCAGGCUAGAAAUUUGGGCAAUGGGGGAAACCCUGACCCAGUGACGCCGCGUGCAGGAAGGAGCCCUUCGGGGUGUAAACUGCUGUCGUGUAGGGAGAAGGGUACUAAGGUGAACAAUCUUAGUACUUGACGGUACUACAGGAGGAAGCCCAGGCUAACCUCGUG
rnacentral:rRNA from 1 species